rnacentral:rRNA from 1 species
UGAGCAAUCUGCCCUUCUCUUUGGAAUAAGCGUUGGAAACGACGUCUAAUGCCGAAUACGGCCUCCUUUCGCAUGAUCGGAGGUGGAAAGCUCCGGCGGAGAAGGAUGAGCUCGCGGCCUAUCAGCUAGUUGGUGUGGGUAAUGGCCCACCAAGGCGACGACGGGUAGCCGGCCUGAGAGGGUGACCGGCCACACUGGGACUGAGACACGGCCCAGACCUCCUACGGGAGGNAGCG